ensembl:lncRNA
UUUUUUUUUUGAGACAGUGUCUUGCUCUGUCACUAGGCUGGAGUGCAGUGACAUAAUCAUAGCUCACUGCAACCUCCAACUUGAGGGGCUCGAGAUCCUCCCACCUCAACCUCCCAAGUAGUUAGGACUAUAGGCAUGCAACACUGUACCUGGCUAAUUUUUAAAUUUUUUUGCAGAGAGAGGGUCUCACUAUAAUGCCCAGGCUGGUCUCAAACUCCUGGCCUGAAACAAUCCUCCUGCCUUAGCCUCCCAAAGUGCUGGAAUUACAAGCAUGAGCCACCAUGCCUGAUUUAUUCAUACAACUUCUUGGAUCCUCAUUUUUAUCAUUUCUAAAACAAAGAUAACAUCUCUCUUACAAGAUUACAAGAUUGGGAGAACUGCUUAAGAUGAAUAAGAAAAACUGAAGAACACUUAGCACAGAGUGGAUUCUCACCAUAUAUCAAGCCUAUAUUGCAUGCUGCCUGAAUACAUGGGUUUAUGCUAUGGAAGUCCUGAUGGCAAACCCUCAUAUCAAAGGCUUCCCUCCUUGCUUCUCCCUACAUCCAGUAGGGAGAGCAGCUGUAUCCCUGGCUACCUUUGAGAGGCCUCCACUGCCUCUAGGGUGGUACUGGGUGCUCCAUUACACCUUUAUCCCUGAGGCUCAUUCCAAGGACAAGGGCUGAAAGCUAGAGGCUCAUUUCCAAGGACAAGGGCUGAAAGCUAGGAAACCGACUCAUCUUCAUUCUCAAUGCCAUUCUCAAGGUGGAGCAUUUUCUGCUGGGCCAACACUCACAAUUUUUUUUUUUUUUUUUAGACACAGUCUUGCUGUGUCAGCCAGGAUGGAGUGCAUCAUUCAAUAAACAUCAGUGGUCCCUUCCCCUUGGCAACUCCUCUUCUUAAAAAGGACAAGACACAGGGGUUGGGGAUGGAGAGCUCUGCGGAUGGUGGUGGGGAAAUGAAAGGAAGACUCCAGUGAUUCCUCAAAUGCCAGCUGUUUAUCAAGUUUGAUGGUUAUGAUGGAUUUUCCAGAAAUAAAAGCUACCUUGCUCCAAUAGGUCUACCUGUGAGCAACUGAGAUGGGGAGGAAUGGGGAGGAGCGCUGAGCAUAGUCUCAUGAACGGUAUGAUUCAGGUCUCGAUAGACAAUGUUCUUUGGAGCAGCACCAACGUUGUGUACUGGGCAGGCACUCUGCCAGCUCCCCAGCCUGUUCUGUCCAAUCCUGGCGUCUUGGAGCUGGGGUGGAAGAAUUUUCCCUGAAGGAAAGCAGCCAACACCCUGUCCCACCCUUCUCCGUGGGCAACUCUUUGCCAGGCAGGAAUCUCUCAUCAGGGUUUUCUUUUGGCUGUCAGAUCACCAGCAGUUACGGGCUUAAGCCCCUGUCACCAUGCCUCUCCCAGAACCUGCAGAGAGCAGCAGCUGGGACUCUGCAGGACCACCUUCCUUUUUCCAGCUAGGAAUGCAUUUGGAAAACCCCAAAACUUCUCCUCUCAGCCAGAGUCCAGAAAAGUCAGCUCCUUGUCUUGGCACAUUCAGUGCAGAGUCAAACGUGGAAAGGGUCCUAGAUGGGGCGGGGUCGACUUCCAGGUCCCACAUUUGCAGGGGAAGCUAAUCCCCCUGGAUUAGGCUGGGAGGUGCUUGGGGCUGGUUGCCAGAUAAAGGACGGGGGGCUCGUUUUUUCUUUUUUUGAGACAGAGUUUUGCUCUUUUUGCCCAGGCUGGAGUGCAAUGGCGCCAUCUCGGCUCACUGCAACCUCCGCCUCCCAGGUUCAAGCAAUUUUCCUGACUCAGCCUCCCAAGUAGCUGGGAUUACAGCCGCCCGCCACCACGCCCGGCUAAUUUUUGUAUUUUCAGUAGAGACGGGGUUCCAACACGUUGGCUAGGCUGGUCUAGAACUCCUGACCUCAGGUGAUCCACUCGCCUUGGCCUCCAAAAGCGCUGGGAUGACGGGCGUGAGCCACUGCGCCUGGCCCGGGACGUCGUUUUCAACUUCAGAUUAAUAAUUUUUUAGUAUAUGUCCCAACAAUUGCACAAGAUAUGAGUAUAGUCAUAAAAAAAUUUGCUGUUUAUAUGAAAUUCAAUUUUAACUGGCCGUCUUUUUCUUUGCUAAGUCUGGAACCCAGGGUUUGGCCUGGGGUAGCCCCCGCAGCAGGCAGGGCUGUUGGAGGGGUCACGAACCCGCUUGGAAGUCCCGCGCCAUCACCGUCGCCCCUCCCGGCCGAGGGAAGGGUCCUGGAAAGCGCGAAGGGCGGCCAAAGCCCGGAUAAGGCCUAAGGGGCCGCAUUUCGCCGCUACCGUGGGAAACUGUCUUCGAGAGGAGGGAGCAGUCGUGGCCUGGCCUCAUUCCCGCUUGCCUCCAGCCUCUGCCGCCUCUCGUGGGCUCUUCCCCGCCCAGAACCGCCCACCUGCGGGCCCACUAGCACCAGCUGCGCUCACAGGCUCUACCCGGCUCGCGGCGGCGGCUCC